rnacentral:rRNA from 1 species
UACAGAGGUCCCAAGCGUUGUUCGGAUUCACUGGGCGUAAAGCGCGUGUAGGCUGUCUCGCAAGUCGGGUGUGAAAGCCCUGGGCUCAACCUAGGAAGUGCACUCGAAACUGCGAGACUUGAGUCCUGGAGAGGAAGGCGGAAUUCUCGGUGUAGAGGUGAAAUUCGUAGAUAUCGAGAGGAACACCGGUGGCGAAGGCGGCCUUCUGGACAGUGACUGACGCUGAGACGCGAAAGCGUGGGGAGCAAACAGG